UACGUAGGGUGCAAGCGUUGUCCGGAAUUAUUGGGCGUAAAGAGCUCGUAGGCGGUUUGUCGCGUCUGCUGUGAAAUCCGGAGGCUCAACCUCCGGCCUGCAGUGGGUACGGGCAGACUAGAGUGCGGUAGGGGAGAUUGGAAUUCCUGGUGUAGCGGUGGAAUGCGCAGAUAUCAGGAGGAACACCAAUUGCGAAGGCAGCUCACUACACGAAUAUUGACACUGAGGCACGAAAGCGUGGGGAUCAAACAGG
rnacentral:rRNA from 1 species